UUCAUUGUCUGUGUCUUUAAGUAGUGAGUCUUUGGACUUGGAGAGGCUGCAGGGCCAGAGAGUGCCACACUUAGCCAGGCGUGUGAGCACCAUAGACUGCAACGUGCUCAACACCAGGAUGACCAAACAGAAACAGAAGUGCUUUCCUAUGGAGAACAACAAGAGAGAUGUGUGAGUGUUAUAUGGUGGCAGAGAGGUCCUGUAUACAUGAAACCGACAUCAGUGUGCUGCUACCAGUAUAUCUUUCUUUACUGUCCCUGUAACAUACCGGGCUGGAAAUAGUGAA
ensembl:lncRNA